AAGUCGUAACAAGGUUUCCGUAGGUGAACCUGCGGAAGGAUCAUUAUUUGAUCUAAAAUUGGAGGUAUUUUUUCAGCCUUGGCCGAAAUCUACCGCCUAUUUCCUUUUGUGAACUGUCUUGUACUGUUGUAUUUUUUUUUAAACUUUUUUUUUCCUUUUGGAAAAUAAAAUCUAAAGACAACUUUCAGCAAUGGAUCUCUUGGCUCUU
rnacentral:misc_RNA from 1 species